GACGAACGCUGGCGGCGUGCUUAACACAUGCAAGUCGAACGGAAAGGCCCUGCUUUUGUGGGGUGCUCGAGUGGCGAACGGGUGAGUAACACGUGAGUAACCUGCCCUUGACUUUGGGAUAACUUCAGGAAACUGGGGCUAAUACCGGAUAGGAGCUCCUGCUGCAUGGUGGGGGUUGGAAAGUUUCGGCGGUUGGGGAUGGACUCGCGGCUUAUCAGCUUGUUGGUGGGGUAGUGGCUUACCAAGGCUUUGACGGGUAGCCGGCCUGAGAGGGUGACCGGCCACAUUGGGACUAAGAUACGGCCCAGACUCCUACGGGAGGCAGCGGUGGGGAAUAUUGCGCAGUGGGCGGACGCCUGAUGCGGCAACGCCGCGUGCGGGAUGACGGCCUUCGGGUUGUAAACCGCUUUCGCCUGUGACGAAGCGUGAGUGACGGUAAUGGGUAAAGAAGCACCGGCUAACUACGUG
rnacentral:rRNA from 1 species